CUCGUAGUCACCAAUAAAACCAAGUCUGUUUCAGCAACACCCACUUCAACAUAUUCACGUGGAAGCUGCACACCACCAUCUUGUCCACAAGCAGAAUAUCCACUUACCCGCAACUUUCCCUUCACAGGCUCAACAGCCAAUGCUCUCCUAAACCAAUCAGCUGUCUGCCCCAAUGCCUUGUGGAGGCGGUGCCUUUUAUCCUCCCCAGAUAUAUCAUCUGAAGUGCAGUUAUACCAGCAGUCACCAUAAAUUGGAGGGUUACCAUGAGGAUUGCAAGGAGUGCCAGGAAGAGAAGUCACAGGAGGUUCCCCAAGCUUCACAAUGUCACCGACUUUUCGACAGUCUCUAUCAGGUGAGUGUCCAACAGCAUCAUAAUUUAAAAAAAUUCUAAUAGGUUGCUUUGCAUCCUUUUGCUGCAAUUGCAAUUCCGAAAUUCCAAGCAAUGCCCUCCCUUUGUGAUGAAGGGAUUUUGACAUAGCAGUAUGAUCAUAAA
rnacentral:misc_RNA from 1 species